UUGAGAGGUGGGCAUAGCCAACUGGGGUGGGCAGUUUUGGGGAGUCGGUGGGGGGCCGUGAGGAGAGACAGGUGCUGCGUUGCAGAGGUAUAGCAGGUGCACAGGCCGUGCCCCAGGAACAGGAGGCAGAGGGCAGCAGGCACAGGGAAGCUGCUGGCAUGGGGCUGGUGGGGCCCGGGGCCGCCCAGAGCGCACCCUCAGGAGCAGGGGACUCAGCUCUCCAAGCUGGGGCAUGGGUGCUGGGGCAGAGGUGCCCCCUGGGUCUGCGGAGGAAAGGGCCGUCCUGGGAGUGGGCAGUUAGGCCCAGGCGCUGGCUCCAGCAGGGGCCCAUGGGGCAGGGCAGACCCCCAGGAGCUGACACUGGAGCAGCAGCCUCCCACGGGGGUCCAGAGGCAGCCGCCGCCCCCCAGCCCGAGCCCCAGUGAGCGCCUGUUGUCCGACAGGUUUGUUGUCAGCACCCCCGUCCCUCCUGGUGCAUCUGGGCGGGUGACAGCUGUGGUCACCCUGGUGCCGUCCUUAUUGGGGCCCUGGUGAGAGGAACCCCCUGGCCUUGCAGCCUGCUCAGGAGCUCAGCUGGGGACACACAGGGCUGGGGACACCCCUUCCCACCUCAGAGCCGCUUCCGAAUUGGCCUUUUGGCCCAGGUGGCCCUGCCUGGACGCGAUUGUCACAGUCUCUGCAGUUCCCCAGACCCGCUGCCCACGCCCAGCUCCCCCUGCUGCCCUGGGAGGACGGCGGUGUGCUGGGCCACCCUGCCCCUCGGUCAUCCCGGAGAGGCCUCCAGGGGUGCGCUCGGGCUGCGGGCCCCGCACUUCUGCCUGUUCGGGUCGGACACUGUCUGCUGUCUGUCUUUGUGUUGGUCAGUCUGUCCAUCCCUCAGUUCAUCAUCUGUCCGUCAGUAAGAACUGGCUUCUUUUUCUUCUCAUUUUGCUGCAAGGCAGUUGGACAGCGUGGACGCAGUGGAAGCCAGUGCACUUCCUACCCCGUCAGGGUGGCGUUGCUCUUCCCCGACGGGCCCCCUUCUUCCCUGGGAGCCCCAGCCUCCCUCGUGCCCCCUUCAAGAAACCCACAGGGUCGCCUGUGACCCCUGCCCUCCCAGAUGUGGGCCAGGGUCUCUGCUCCCUCCCCAUACAGUCUGCGAGAAAUAAAAUGCUGCCGAGGGCCUCCCCCAGUGCCUGCCCCCCAUCCUUGACCAGGUGAGUGGAGCCCUAGAAGGCUUGGGUCCAGGGCUGGGGCCACCUCGAUGGCAUUUCCCCGAGGUCAGCCUGGGACCCUCUGCUCUUCCUGGCAUCCUGGCCCUGGGUGUGCCUGCUGGGUGGUGCAGCUCAGCCUCCUGGGCUCUGGGCCGUCCAGCUGCAGUGCCCGGCGCCCUCCCAGCAGCUCUCUUGAUGCAUUAGAGACCUCUGGCCUCCAUCUACCCUCCUGUGGGACCCCAGUCACAAGCCCAGGACAAGGUCGCCGGGUGGAACUGGGGCUGCACACUGCAGGCUGCCCUGCGGGCUCGGGGGGCCAGGACGGCCUCCACCCUCUCCAUGUGCUGACUGCGCUCUGGGCACUCCCGGCCUGGUUGGGGCCUGUGAAGAGCUCCAGCCUGAGGCUCAUGGCCAGGGGUACGCAGCAGCCUGGGCAUGGGGGGUGAGGGGACAGGAGCUUUGCAAACCCAGCAGCAGCUCCCAGCAUGCCAAGCCAGGUGCCCAGGGCUGAGCCAGGGGCACAUCAGGUGUGUGCCAAGAGCCUGCGUCCCUGGCCAGAACGAUCCAGACGGGCAGGUCUGGGUGUGUGCAGGUGAGAACACCUCCCGCCCUUCCUGCCUUCCCCACUUUCCCAGCGGACUCUGCCCCGCACCAGCCUGUUCGUUCUUUCCCGUUGCCACUUCCUGCUCCAGAGGUGGCGGGCUCGGGGCCCCACGCUGGGUGGUCUCACGGCCAUGCCCGUCCCUCCCUCUCAGGCCGGGGGCAGCCUUGGGACAGAGUUUCUGGGGUGAGUCGGGAGCUCCCUGUGCUCCAAGGGCAGGUGGAUGGAGAGGGGGCUGUGGGCAGGGGCUCCAGACCGAGGCCAGGGACUCGGCUACUCUCGGCUCUGCCCCUCCCCUCCCUCUCUCCACUUAGGGUCCCGCCUCAUCCCUCCUGUCUGCCUCCCUGGUUUUGCUGCUGGUUUUUCCUCCCCUGAUUUUUACCAGAUUUAAGCAGCUUUGCUGACUUUCGAAAUGGCUGGAAGAGUCAUUUUAUUCCUGGAGACCCCAACAUGAGGCCCAGGUGGGGCUGCCUCAUCAGGGGACAGGGUGACGAGUGGGGGGGGACGCAGCCACUUUGGAGGAGUUGGGUCUUUUCUGGUUUCAAGGGGGGACUUUAGUGGGGACCAGCUGCCCCGGCAGCCUGCAGGAUCUCUGCUCCCUGGGACACGUUCCAAGUCCUCCUUCCCCGGAGGAGCUGACGGUGGCCGCAGAGCCCUGUCCUGCUGCCGUGGACCAUCUGGGCUGAGACCCUCCGGCUGCUGCUCUCCGACUCCCAACAACAGGCCACGUCCACACUGACGGCACCUCCUCAUCUGGGCUGGGGCCAAGGCUUCUCAGGGUUCCCGGGAACACGGGGCUCGGUCAGGGGUACCGCGUGGCUUCUGUGGGCGAGGGCCAGGCAGGGCCUGGCGUCGGCUGCCGGGAAAUCUGCCCCUUUUACAAAUCGGCCACGAGGCAAGGUUGCUGCUGGGUUCAGAGCAGGGGGUGCUCCGUCAGGGGCCAGUGCUCUCCCAGGUCCCCGGGCCUCUGCGGGUGGGAUGUUUGGGGUGCCCAUGGCGUCAUGUGGCAUUUCUGUGUUCCAGCUGACAUGGGCUCACCCCUCAUCUGCCAACCCCCAGUGAGAAGAACGACCAGGCGCUGCAGGUCCCUUCCCAUCGUCUCACGCUGGAGACACAGAGUCCUGUCACCCAUGGACCCCGUCUGCCCCUCCUCCCACACCCCUGCUGCCCAGUUGGUGUCUGCAGCGUCGUGGCCUUGCCCAGUCCCUCCCUCAGCUGGAGAUGAGUAACCCUGAACCUUGGGCCAUGCGAUCCCUGCUCUCCAGGCUUUCACAUCAGUUCAUUCCACACUAAGCCCAGGGAGGCUGAGCCUGUCCCCGCCCAUCUUGGGCUUGCUUCCCCUCCUGCACCGGGUGAGGUGGGGGCUGGAGUGCAGGGGCAGUUGCCCCUGGUGAGCUGGUGGCAGCUGCCCGCACCCCUGUUCCGGGAGGACCUCCAGGGUUCCCUUCACUUCCAUGUGGACUGGUGGUUCCUGGCUGGUGCCGUGUUGGGGUGUGGGUCUCUGCGGGCCUGCAGGGGCUCCAGCCGUCCGGGCAGUCUGGGCACAGUGCCUGUCCAUGGGGCUCACCUCCCCCUGGCCACACAGUCCUCCCCACCCCAGGGCCCCUCCAAGGGUCACUGCUUGGCAGAAAGUGUGUGU